rnacentral:rRNA from 1 species
CCUACGGGAGGCAGCAGUGAGGAAUAUUGGUCAGUGGUCGGAAGACUGAACCAGCCAAGUAGCGUGAAGGAUGAAGGUUCUAUGGAUUGUAAACUUCUUUUAUACGGGAAUAAAACCACCUACGUGUAGGUGCUUGUAUGUACCGUAUGAAUAAGCAUCGGCUAACUCCGUGCCAGCAGCCGCGGUAAU